UACAGAGGGUGCAAGCGUUAAUCGGAAUUACUGGGCGUAAAGCGUGCGCAGGCGGUUAUGUAAGACAGUUGUGAAAUCCCCGGGCUCAACCUGGGAACUGCAUCUGUGACUGCAUAGCUAGAGUACGGUAGAGGGGGAUGGAAUUCCGCGUGUAGCAGUGAAAUGCGUAGAUAUGCGGAGGAACACCGAUGGCGAAGGCAAUCCCCUGGACCUGUACUGACGCUCACGCACGAAAGCGUGGGGAGCAAACAGG
rnacentral:rRNA from 1 species